rnacentral:rRNA from 1 species
GACGAACGCUGGCGGCGUGCUUAACACAUGCAAGUCGAACGGAAAGGCCCUGCUUUUGUGGGGUGCUCGAGUGGCGAACGGGUGAGUAACACGUGAGUAACCUGCCCUUGACUUUGGGAUAACUUCAGGAAACUUGGGCUAAUACCGGAUAGGAGCUCCUGCUUCAUGGUGGGGGUUGGAAAGUUUCGGCGGUUGGGGAUGGACUCGCGGCUUAUCAGCUUGUUGGUGGGGUAGUGGCUUACCAAGGCUUUGACGGGUAGCCGGCCUGAGAGGGUGACCGGCCACAUUGGGACUGAGAUACGGCCCAGACUCCUACGGGAGGCAGCAGUGGGGAAUAUUGCACAAUGGGCGGAAGCCUGAUGCAGCAACGCCGCGUGCGGGAUGACGGCCUUCGGGUUGUAAACCGCUUUCGCCUGUGACGAAGCGUGAGUGACGGUAAUGGGUAAAGAAGCACCGGCUAACUACGUG